GAUAAACGCUGGCGGCGUGCCUAAUACAUGCAAGUCGAGCGAACGGACGAGAAGCUUGCUUCUCUGAUGUUAGCGGCGGACGGGUGAGUAACACGUGGAUAACCUACCUAUAAGACUGGGAUAACUUCGGGAAACCGGAGCUAAUACCGGAUAAUAUUUUGAACCGCAUGGUUCAAAAGUGAAAGACGGUCUUGCUGUCACUUAUAGAUGGAUCCGCGCUGCAUUAGCUAGUUGGUAAGGUAACGGCUUACCAAGGCAACGAUGCAUAGCCGACCUGAGAGGGUGAUCGGCCACACUGGAACUGAGACACGGUCCAGACUCCUACGGGAGGCAGCAGUAGGGAAUCUUCCGCAAUGGGCGAAAGCCUGACGGAGCAACGCCGCGUGAGUGAUGAAGGUCUUCGGAUCGUAAAACUCUGUUAUUAGGGAAGAACAUAUGUGUAAGUAACUGUGCACAUCUUGACGGUACCUAAUCAGAAAGCCACGGCUAACUACGUGCCAGCAGCCGCGGUAAUACGUAGGUGGCAAGCGUUAUCCGGAAUUAUUGGGCGUAAAGCGCGCGUAGGCGGUUUUUUGAGUCUGAUGUGAAAGCCCACGGCUCAACCGUGGAGGGUCAUUGGAAACUGGAAAACUUGAGUGCAGAAGAGGAAAGUGGAAUUCCAUGUGUAGCGGUGAAAUGCGCAGAGAUAUGGAGGAACACCAGCGGCGAAGGCGACUUUCUGGUCUGUAACUGACGCUGAUGUGCGAAAGCGUGGGGAUCAAACAGGAUUAGAUACCCUGGUAGUCCACGCCGUAAACGAUGAGUGCUAAGUGUUAGGGGGUUUCCGCCCCUUAGUGCUGCAGCUAACGCAUUAAGCACUCCGCCUGGGGAGUACGACCGCAAGGUUGAAACUCAAAGGAAUUGACGGGGACCCGCACAAGCGGUGGAGCAUGUGGUUUAAUUCGAAGCAACGCGAAGAACCUUACCAAAUCUUGACAUCCUUUGACAACUCUAGAGAUAGAGCCUUCCCCUUCGGGGGACAAAGUGACAGGUGGUGCAUGGUUGUCGUCAGCUCGUGUCGUGAGAUGUUGGGUUAAGUCCCGCAACGAGCGCAACCCUUAAGCUUAGUUGCCAUCAUUAAGUUGGGCACUCUAAGUUGACUGCCGGUGACAAACCGGAGGAAGGUGGGGAUGACGUCAAAUCAUCAUGCCCCUUAUGAUUUGGGCUACACACGUGCUACAAUGGACAAUACAAAGGGCAGCGAAACCGCGAGGUCAAGCAAAUCCCAUAAAGUUGUUCUCAGUUCGGAUUGUAGUCUGCAACUCGACUACAUGAAGCUGGAAUCGCUAGUAAUCGUAGAUCAGCAUGCUACGGUGAAUACGUUCCCGGGUCU
rnacentral:rRNA from 1 species